UACGUAGGAGGCAAGCGUUGUCCGGAAUCACUGGGCGUAAAGGGCGCGUAGGCGGGUUUUUAAGUCAGAUGUGAAAGAUGCGGGCUCAACCCGGAGUGUGCAUCUGAUACUGGAGAUCUUGAGUGCAGGAGAGGACAGUGGAAUUCCUAGUGUAGCGGUGGAAUGCGUAGAUAUUAGGAGGAACACCAGUGGCGAAGGCGGCUGUCUGGACUGUAACUGACGCUGAGGCGCGAAAGCGUGGGGAGCAAACAGG
rnacentral:rRNA from 1 species